rnacentral:tRNA from 1 species
GGGCGGUUAGCUCAGCGGUAGAGCACCUGCUUUACACGCAGGUGGCCGGCGGUUCAAAUCCGUCACCGCCCA